UAGGGAAUCUUCCGCAAUGGGCGAAAGCCUGACGGAGCAACGCCGCGUGAGUGAUGAAGGUCUUCGGAUCGUAAAACUCUGUUACUAGGGAAGAACAAAUGUGUAAGUAACUAUGCACGUCUUGACGGUACCUAAUCAGAAAGCCACGGCUAACUACGUGCCAGCAGCCGCGGUAAUACGUAGGUGGCAAGCGUUAUCCGGAAAUAUUGGGCGUAAAGCGCGCGUAGGCGGUUUUUUAAGUCUGAUGUGAAAGCCCACGGCUCAACCGUGGAGAGUCAUUGGAAACUGGAACACUUGAGUGCAGAAGAGGAAAGUGGAAUUCCAUGUGUAGCGGUGAAAUGCGCAGAGAUAUGGAGGAACACCAGUGGCGAAGGCGACUUUCUGGUCUGUACCUGACGCUGAUGUGCGAAAGCGUGGGGAUCAAACAGG
rnacentral:rRNA from 1 species